GAUUCGGCUUGCAAGAUCACAUUGAGAGCUUGCAUAUAAUGCAGGAGAGGUGGCCAAGUAGAAUGUGGGUGCACCAGUAAAAAGAAGACUCUUUGGCCCCUCUUCUGUACCAGUUGACCUUUGGUGUGGGCUGACCAGUGACAUUGCAGGUAUCUUCUUAAUGUGCCUUUAAAAAAAGCAACUGCUACAUGUAUAAUCUAGUGCAUGGAAAGAGACCAGCAGCCCAAGAGAGAAACAAUCUCUUAGAUCUUGUUGCUGAGGUCAGAUCAUCACAGACUUAAUUUCCCAUUCUUGUUAGGCUGGUCACCAGUCCCAUUUGCAUGGACCUGAGCCUUGACCACCAUGGACUGACCACUCCCUGUGGCUGAUGGAAUAC